rnacentral:rRNA from 1 species
AGUGAACGCUGGCGGUAGGCCUAACACAUGCAAGUCGAACGGCAGCACAGUAAGAGCUUGCUCUUACGGGUGGCGAGUGGCGGACGGGUGAGGAAUACAUCGGAAUCUACUUUUUCGUGGGGGAUAACGUAGGGAAACUUACGCUAAUACCGCAUACGACCUACGGGUGAAAGCAGGGGAUCUUCGGACCUUGCGCGAUUGAAUGAGCCGAUGUCGGAUUAGCUAGUUGGCGGGGUAAAGGCCCACCAAGGCGACGAUCCGUAGCUGGUCUGAGAGGAUGAUCAGGCACCCUGGGACAGAGACACGGUCCAGACUCCUACGGGAGGCAGCAGUGGGGAAUAUUGGACAAUGGGGGCAAGCCUGAUCCAGCCAUACCGCGUGGGUGAAGAAGGCCUUCGGGUUGUAAAGCCCUUUUGUUGGGAAAGAAAAGCAGCAGGUUAAUACCCCGCUGUUCUGACGGUACCCAAAGAAUAAGCACCGGCUAACUUCGUG